AACGAACGCUGGCGGCAGGCUUAACACAUGCAAGUCGAGCGCCCCGCAAGGGGAGCGGCAGACGGGUGAGUAACGCGUGGGAACGUGCCCUUUGGUUCGGAACAACUCCGGGAAACUGGAGCUAAUACCGGAUAAGCCCUUCGGGGGAAAGAUUUAUCGCCAAAGGAUCGGCCCGCGUCUGAUUAGCUAGUUGGUGAGGUAAUGGCUCACCAAGGCGACGAUCAGUAGCUGGUCUGAGAGGAUGAUCAGCCACACUGGGACUGAGACACGGCCCAGACUCCUACGGGAGGCAGCAGUGGGGAAUCUUGGACAAUGGGCGCAAGCCUGAUCCAGCCAUGCCGCGUGAGUGAAGAAGGCCUUAGGGUUGUAAAGCUCUUUUACCAGGGACGAUAAUGACGGUACCUGGAGAAUAAGCCCCGGCAAACUUCGUGCCAGCCGCCGCAGUAAAAC
rnacentral:rRNA from 1 species